AGAGUUUGAUCCUGGCUCAGAUUGAACGCUGGCGGCAUGCCUUACACAUGCAAGUCGAACGGCAGCACGGGUGCUUGCACCUGGUGGCGAGUGGCGAACGGGUGAGUAAUACAUCGGAACGUACCUUAUCGUGGGGGAUAACGCAGCGAAAGUUGCGCUAAUACCGCAUACGCCCUGAGGGGGAAAGCGGGGGACCGUAAGGCCUCGCGCGAUUAGAGCGGCCGAUGUCUGAUUAGCUUGUUGGUGAGGUAAAAGCUCACCAAGGCGAUGAUCAGUAGCUGGUCUGAGAGGACGAUCAGCCACACUGGGACUGAGACACGGCCCAGACUCCUACGGGAGGCAGCAGUGGGGAAUUUUGGACAAUGGGGGCAACCCUGAUCCAGCAAUGCCGCGUGAGUGAAGAAGGCCUUCGGGUUGUAAAGCUCUUUUGUCAGGGAAGAAACAGCAGCUCUAACACAGUCUGCGAAUGACGGUACCUGAAGAAUAAGCAUCGGCUAACUCCGUGCCAGCAGCCGCGGUAAG
rnacentral:rRNA from 1 species